rnacentral:lncRNA from 1 species
UAUUAGGGGUGUGCAGAAUAAUUCAACCCGACCGAAACCCGAAAAACCCGAAAAAACAAUAACUGAUGCGGACGGUUCGGGUCGGAUGGCGGGUAUUUAAAUGGCUAAAUUCAGUUAAGAGUGAGUUAUCACGGACGGGUCCGGAUUUAAAAAUUUUAAUUUAUCGGUGUCCGAACCCGACCACCUAAAUAUGUACAGAGCCUAUAUAUACUAGUAUGGUUGAAACCAGAUGUUUACUAUCUGACAAAAAGGUGAGGCUAUGUCAUAGUCAAUCAACUUUUUAUUUCUUGCGUGUUGCAAUUGCCAUAAGCCUCUGUCCC